rnacentral:rRNA from 1 species
CCUACGGGAGGCAGCAGUGAGGAAUAUUGGUCAAUGGGCGCGAGCCUGAACCAGCCAAGUAGCGUGAAGGAUGACUGCCCUACGGGUUGUAAACUUCUUUUAUAAAGGAAUAAAGUGAGGCACGUGUGCCUUUUUGUAUGUACUUUAUGAAUAAGGCUCGGCUAACUCCGUGCCAGCAGCCGCGGUAAUACGGAGGAUCCGAGCGUUAUCCGGAUUUAUUGGGUUUAAAGGGUGCGUAGGCGGCCUUUUAAGUCAGCGGUGAAAGUCUGUGGCUCAACCAUAGAAUUGCCGUUGAAACUGGGGGGCUUGAGUAUGUUUGAGGCAGGCGGAAUGCGGGGUGUAGCGGUGAAAUGCUUAGAGAUCACGCAGAACCCCGAUUGCGAAGGCAGCCUGCCAAGCCAUGACUGACGCUGAUGCACGAAAGCGUGGGGAUCAAACAGGAUUAGAUACCCUGGUAGUC